CUACGGAGGAUGCGAGCGUUAUCCGGAUUUAUUGGGUUUAAAGGGAGCGUAGGUGGGAUAUUAAGUCAGCUGUGAAAGUUUGGGGCUCAACCUUAAAAUUGCAGUUGAUACUGGUUUCCUUGAGUACGGUACAGGUGGGCGGAAUUCGUGGUGUAGCGGUGAAAUGCUUAGAUAUCACGAAGAACUCCGAUCGCGAAGGCAGCUCACCGGGCCGGAACUGACACUGAUGCUCGAAAGUGCGGGUAUCAAACAGGAUUAGAUACCCUGGUAGUCCGCACAGUAAACGAUGAAUACUCGCUGUUUGCGAUACACUGUAAGCGGCCAAGCGAAAGCGUUAAGUAUUCCACCUGGGGAGUACGCCGGCAACGGUGAAACUCAAAGGAAUUGACGGGG
rnacentral:rRNA from 1 species